GUCUUUGGAAUUCUCUGCACACGUGGUUGGAGGCCAGAAAAAGGCGGCUAGGGCAGACAGCAAGGCAUGCUAACCCUGGAAAACGAGGUGUUAAGGCGAAAAAAUUGUGAUGGGAGUUCAAUAGCCAAGCAGAGAUAAGGCAGCGUGUUGUGUUGUCUCACAAAAGAAAAGGUUCAGACCCAGGGAUGAGGGUGGCAUCAAUCUUCUGUGAGGGGCAGGAUUAUUUGGAGGAGAUUUGUGGCCUCCUGUGGGGGUGGGACCAGCGAAUGAGGUUGUAAGGACUUCUUCAGCCUCUGGGAAUUAUUCCUUUCUCCACCCUCUAGUUCCAGCACGGACACCUCUGUGAGGUGAAAGAGAAACAUCUUGGCUUCAGAGGCUUGCCGCGAUGUGAGCAGACGUCAGGGUGUAUGCGGUAGCGGCAACCCUCUAGAAUUUGACUGGGUUCUGCGCAGCCUAUCUCCUGCCAGUAGUAGCACCUGUAAAGACCUGCACUGGACUCAGUAAGAGCACCAAGAGCACCGAUGGGGAAUGAAACUUGGAAAGUCUUGUAAGUAGGCUGGACCCAGAACAUCUGGGUCUUGUCCUUCAGCAGCAAGGACUUGCUAUAUACUCGAGAGGGAAUGCUGCACCAGAGUGUGAUGUUCUCCCAAGGGGCCUGAUGGUAGCUGGUUUCUGUGAACAACUCCAUCACUGCCAUUUCUAAAGACCACAAAGAGGUACUUACGGUAGCUGAAGACCCGCUCUGCUGUUGGAGAUUCUCCAGUGAGCUCCUCCAGAUGCAGCAAACUGCCCGGCCUGGGAAUAGCUGGCUGUGGGCAGCCCCUCUUGCUCCGACCCCGCCUCCUUCGGC